AACGAACGCUGGCGGCAGGCCUAACACAUGCAAGUCGAGCGCGCCCUUCGGGGUGAGCGGCGGACGGGUGAGUAACGCGUGGGAACGUGCCCUUCUCUGCGGAAUAGCCUCGGGAAACUGAGAGUAAUACCGCAUGCGCCCUUUGGGGGAAAGAUUUAUCGGAGAAGGAUCGGCCCGCGUUGGAUUAGGUAGUUGGUGGGGUAAUGGCUCACCAAGCCGACGAUCCAUAGCUGGUUUGAGAGGAUGAUCAGCCACACUGGGACUGAGACACGGCCCAGACUCCUACGGGAGGCAGCAGUGGGGAAUCUUAGACAAUGGGGGCAACCCUGAUCUAGCCAUGCCGCGUGAGUGAUGAAGGCCUUAGGGUUGUAAAGCUCUUUCAGCUGGGAAGAUAAUGACGGUACCAGCAGAAGAAGCCCCGGCUAACUCCGUGCCAGCCGCCGCAGUAA
rnacentral:rRNA from 1 species